CUGAUCUGAAGGAGGAGAGAGAGAUGAUGGGAGAUGAAGGGUAUGGGAGUGUAUGCUACGGCUACCUGCUGUCAAAGUUCUCGAGGAAUCAGCUGGCUGGAGGAAUUUUGGAAGGGGUGAGGCACACACUUUCUUCUAUGUUCCUGAAACCACAACAUUGUUAG
rnacentral:lncRNA from 1 species